CCGCAGCAGCAUCACUGAGGAAGGUUCAGGACCACAAUCCAUACUCUUUCAAUAAUGUCUGAUCUUUGCGUUGGAAUCAAUGGAUUUGGCCGCAUUGGCCGUCUGGUCCUCA